rnacentral:rRNA from 1 species
UACAGAGGGUGCGAGCGUUAAUCGGAAUUACUGGGCGUAAAGCGUGCGUAGACGGUUAUGUAAGUCGGGUGUGAAAGCCCCGGGCUCAACCUGGGAAUUGCAUUCGAGACUGCAUAGCUAGGAUGCGGAAGAGGGAAGUGGAAUUUCCGGUGUAGCGGUGAAAUGCGUAGAUAUCGUAAGGAAGACCAGUGGCGAAGGCGGGUCUCUGGACAGUUCCUGACGCUGAGGGCACGAAGGUCAGGGGAGCAAACGGG